ACGGAGGGUGCAAGCGUUGUCCGGAUUUAUUGGGUUUAAAGGGUGCGUAGGCGGUCCGUUAAGUCAGUGGUGAAAUCCAGCAGCUCAACUGCUGGACUGCCAUUGAUACUGGCGGACUUGAGUACGGACGAGGUAGGCGGAAUUUAUGGUGUAGCGGUGAAAUGCAUAGAUACCAUAAAGAACACCGAUAGCGAAGGCAGCUUACUAGACCGUAACUGACGCUCAGGCACGAAAGCGUGGGGAGCGAACAGG
rnacentral:rRNA from 1 species